AUGGCUUGCUUCCUCAUCCGCUUCCGCCUGUUAACCGCCUUGGUCUUCCAAGCAUUGGCGCUGGUGUUCUUGAGCCAACUUCUUAUAGUGAUGUUAUUCAUACCAAAUGGCAUCUUGCGAUGGCAGAGAAGAUUGUUGAUCUUGAGCGCAUCGGCACAUGCGAUAUUGUUUCUCUUCCUCCUCGUGUUCGUCCCAUCACUUGGUGGGAAUGUUAAGACUCACUUUGACUUUUUAUAUGUUCCUUCUUUUGCUCAUGUUCCUCGACUUUACUACACUCAUGGUCCGCAUGUUGUGGAUUCUUCUGAUAAGCCAUCUCCCUCGACUAUUAUAUCUUCUUUCCUUGGAAACGCACAGCCUACAGCUUAG
rnacentral:rRNA from 1 species